AAUAGGCUUGGUCCUGGCCUUUCUAUUAGCUCUUAGCAGGAUUACACAUGCAAGCAUCCCCGCUCCAGUGAAGACGCCCUACAAAUCAUCAUGACCAAGAGGAGCAAGCAUCAAGCACGCACACGCAGCUCAAAACGCUUUGCCUAGCCACACCCCCACGGGAGACAGCAGUGACAAAUAUUUAGCAAUAAACGAAAGUUCAACUAAGCCAUGCUAUAUUUAGGGUUGGUCAAUUUCGUGCCAGCCACCGCGGUUACACGAUUAACCCCAGCUAAUAGGGAUCGGCGUAGAGGGUGUUUAAGAUCUAACAUAAUAAAGCUAAACUCCACCUAAACUGUAAAACCCUAGCUAAUGUAAAAUAAACUACGAAAGUGGCUUUAAAGCUUCUGAACACACAAUAGCCAAGACCCAAACUGGGAUUAGACACCCCACUAUGCUUGGCCCUAAACCUCAGUAGUUAGAUAACAAAACUACUCGCCAGAAUACUACAAGCAACAGCUUGAAACUCAAAGGACUUGACGGUGCUUUACAUCCCCCUAGAGGAGCCUGUUCCAUAAUCGAUAAACCCCGAUCCACCCUACCCUCUCUUGCUCAGCCUAUAUACCGCCAUCUUCAGCAAACCCUAAUGAAGGCCACAAAGUGAGCGCAAACGCCGCCGCCGCGAAUACGUUAGGUCAAGGUGUAGCCCAUGAGACGGUAAAAAAUGGGCUACAUUUUCUAUUUCAGAAAACCCACGAAAACCCUUAUGAAACUUAAGGGUCCAAGGAGGAUUUAGCAGUAAAUUAAGAAUAGAGUGCUUAAUUGAACCAGGCCAUAAAGCGCGCACACACCGCCCGUCACUCCUCUCAAAUAUAUUUAAGGAAUAUCCUAACUAAACGCCCUAAUAUUUAUAUAGAGAGGAUAAGUCGUAACAUGGUAAGCGUACUGGAAGGUGCGCUUGGAUAAAU
rnacentral:ncRNA from 1 species